rnacentral:ncRNA from 1 species
AAAUAAAUUUUUUAUGAUUUAAAAAAUUUAUUUUAAAUUUAUUUUACAUAUAAAUUUUAGUGUAAAUUUAUAAUUAUUUUAAAAAUAAUUAUUAAAUUAUGUAGUAAUUAAUAUUAAUUAUAUAAGAAAUUAUGAAUUAGUAAUAAAAAAAUUAUUAACAAAAUUUGUGCCAGCAGUUGCGGUUAAACAAAUAAUAAAUUAAAUUUUAUUAGUAAGAAAUAAAUAAAUUAUUAUAAAAUAUAUUUAAAAUUAUUAAGUGAAAUUAUAAUUUUAUAAAUUUUUUUAAAAAAUUUAUUAUUUUUUAAAUUUUAUUAUAAACUAGGAUUAGAUACCCUAUUAUUAAAAAUUAAAUUUUAAUACUAAAAUAGUAUGUAAUUAUUUAUUGAAACUUAAAUAAUUUGGCGGUAUUUUAGUUUAUUUAGAGGAAUCUGUCUAUUAAUUGAUAAUCCACGAAUAAAUUUACUUAAUUUAAAAAUUUAUAUAUCGUUGUUAAAAAAAUAUUUUAUAAUAAUAAUAAUAUUUAAAAAUUUAAAUAUAAAAUUAAAUCAGAUCAAGAUGUAGUUUAUAAUUAAGAAUAUGAUGGAUUACAAUAAAUUUAUUUAAGUGGAUAUUAUAUUGUAAAAUAUAAUUAAAAAUGGAUUUAAAUGUAAUUAUAUAUAAUUUUAUACAAUGAUUUAAAAUUAAAAUAUGUACAUAUUGCCCGUCGCUUUCAUUUAUAAAUUGAAAUAAGUCGUAACAAAGUAGGGGUACUGGAAAGUGUUCCUAGAAAGAU